UACGUAGGGGGCAAGCGUUGUCCGGAAUCAUUGGGCGUAAAGCGCGUGUAGGCGGCCUUGUAAGUCCGUUCUGAAAGCCCGGGGCUCAACCCCGGGAGGCGGAUGGAUACUGCAAGGCUCGAGUACGGAAGAGGCGAGUGGAAUUCCCGGUGUAGCGGUGAAAUGCGUAGAUAUUGGGAAGAACACCUGAGGCGAAGGCGGGUUGCUGGGCCGACACUGACGCUGAGGCGCGAAAGCGUGGGGAGCGAACAGG
rnacentral:rRNA from 1 species